UACGUAGGUGACAAGCGUUGUCCGGAUUUACUGGGCGUAAAGAGCGCGCAGGCGGUCGUUCAAGUCGAGUGUGAAAGCCCCCGGCUCAACUGGGGAGGGUCAUUCGAUACUGAUCGACUCGAAGGCAGGAGAGGGUAGUGGAAUUCCCGGUGUAGUGGUGAAAUGCGUAGAUAUCGGGAGGAACACCAGUGGCGAAGGCGGCUUUCUGGCCUGUUCUUGACGCUGAGGCGCGAAAGCUAGGGGAGCGAACGGG
rnacentral:rRNA from 1 species